GACGAACGCUGGCGGCGUGCUUAACACAUGCAAGUCGAACGGGUCUGCCCUGUUUUUUGCGGGGUGGGUCAGUGGCGAACGGGUGAGUAACACGUGAGUAACCUGCCCCUCACUUCUGGAUAACCGCUUGAAAGGGUGGCUAAUACGGGGUGUUCUGGCUGUGCCGCAUGGUGUGGCUGGGAAAGAUUCACUUUUGUGGUGUUUUGGUGGGGGAUGGGCUCGCGGCCUAUCAGCUUGUUGGUGGGGUGAUGGCCUGCCAAGGCUUUGACGGGUAGCCGGCCUGAGAGGGUGGGCGGUCACACUGGGACUGAGAUACGGCCCAGACUCCUGCGGGAGGCAGCAGUGGGGGGUAUUGCACAAUGGGCGGAAGCCCGAUGCAGCGACGUCGCGUGAGGGAUGGAGGCCGUCGGGUUGUGAACCUCUUUCGCCGGUGAAGAAGGUCCUGCUCUUUGUGGUGGGGUUGACGGUAGCCGGGUUAUGAAGCGCCGGCUAACUACGUG
rnacentral:rRNA from 1 species